UACGUAGGGUGCAAGCGUUGUCCGGAAUUAUUGGGCGUAAAGAGCUCGUAGGCGGGUUUGUCGCGUCUGCUGUGAAAACUCGGGGCUUAACUCCGGGCCUGCAGUGGGUACGGGCAGACUAGAGUGCGGUAGGGGGAGACUGGAAUUCCUGGUGUAGCGGUGAAAUGCGCAGAUAUCAGGAGGAACACCGGGUGGCGAAGGGCGGGGUCUCUGGGGCCGAUACUGACGUGAGGAGCGAAAAGCAUGGGGUAGCGAAACAGG
rnacentral:rRNA from 1 species